UACGUAGGUGACCAGCGUUGUCCGGAUUUACUGGGCGUAAAGAGCGCGCAGGCGGUCGUUCAAGUCGAGUGUGAAAGCCCCCGGCUCAACUGGGGAGGGUCACUUGAUACUGAUCGACUCGAAGGCAGGAGAGGGAAGCGAAAUUCCCGGUGUAGUGGUGAAAUGCGUAGAUAUCGGGAGGAACACCAGUGGCGAAGGCGACUUCCUGGCCUGUUCUUGACGCUGAGGCGCGAAAGCUAGGGGAGCAAACGGG
rnacentral:rRNA from 1 species